AUUGAACGCUGGCGGCAGGCCUAACACAUGCAAGUCGAGCGGAUGAAGGGAGCUUGCUCCUGGAUUCAGCGGCGGACGGGUGAGUAAUGCCUAGGAAUCUGCCUGGUAGUGGGGGAUAACGUCCGGAAACGGGCGCUAAUACCGCAUACGUCCUGAGGGAGAAAGUGGGGGAUCUUCGGACCUCACGCUAUCAGAUGAGCCUAGGUCGGAUUAGCUAGUUGGUGGGGUAAAGGCCUACCAAGGCGACGAUCCGUAACUGGUCUGAGAGGAUGAUCAGUCACACUGGAACUGAGACACGGUCCAGACUCCUACGGGAGGCAGCAGUGGGGAAUAUUGGACAAUGGGCGAAAGCCUGAUACAGCCAUGCCGAGUGUGUGAAGAAGGUCUUCGGAUUGUAAAGCACUUUAAGUUGGGAGGAAGGGCAGUAAGUUAAUACCUUGCUGUUUUGACGUUACCAACAGAAAAAGCACCGGCUAACUUCGUG
rnacentral:rRNA from 1 species